UCACGGGUGUGACCUGCUGGAGGAGAGUUUAGUUUUUUUAGUACUUUUUAUGCUGUGCAGAAGUUAGCUGUUUAAUUUGAAAUUAAUUCUAUAAGGAUCUUCCUCAUGACCUUGAAGUUUUUUUUUAACAGUGGAAACACUUUUUUCCUGGAGGUGGCUCAAGUUUCCCAAAAUACCACACAUGAAAGGCAGUAGAUGUCACCAGUUCAUAAUGGGGCCAAUCCAGAUAAACGGUAAUUCAAACCAAAGGGCAAUUUCCUCUCCAAUCAACCUGCACGUUUUGGACUAUGGAAGGACACUGGAAAGAAUAAAUAUAAAGGUUGUGCCCACGCAGAGCGGUGCAGAACGCCAGCUGGGAACAUCCUGUCUUAGGCGACAGGAACAUCAGACGCGACAGAUGGCUCAUAAAUCAUGGAAGUGCGUGCACAGUGUCGAUGGGAGGCCUUCCUCUGGAGAGCACACUGUGAGCAGGUGGGCAGAGGGAGCAUCAGCUCAGCAACAUGAGCCCUGGACGCAUUACCACUCUGACUGGGAAACUGCCUAGUGUCACAGAGGCAGAAUCAGGAGGGAAAACACGGAGGACUGCUUCCGCAGUGUCACAAUGUUCGCUCUCAGCCAGCUCGUGUCUCAACACUUUAAGGUGUGAUUUCAUAGUGUGCAAGAACUUGUAUUUUGAUUGUGUCUUAUUAGGAUGUAUCAGUUUAGAACUAGGCAUGCAUAAAGGUAAAAAAAAUUAAAUAAAUGUAUAGUCUCACUUGCAAUGAGCACCAUAUGGCAGUUCUCACCUAACAAACUGCAACAAUUGUUGUACAUUAAAACUGAUGUAGGAUUUAGUUUUCCUAUGAAUCUAACAAGGAUAAGAUCCAGAAUAAGACAGGUUGAACUUCAUGCAUAGGGCUCAUUAUUUUCUGUUUUGUUGUGUGUGGUAUUAAAAAAAAACAGGUUAAAAAAAGGGUUAAAAAGUAUUCAGCAACAAAUAUCUAGUCAAAAAAAACUUUUUAAAAAUCACCAUUUAAAGAGAAAACACUCCAUCCAUUGUUUCUUUACACUUACUUAAAGUGACACAUAAUCAACCGCGCAUUCAUAUUUUCACAUUCUUCUAUUUAAAAGUUACUUUGUGCCCUGUUUUUCCUUCCCUAACUGUGUUAACUCUUAACUGUAACUACUUGCAUCAGUAAACAUUUUGGUGCAUAAAGACAUAAAAUCUCCUUUAACCAAUCUGCUCCUUUAAGAAAUGUGUUUAUUGUUCAGUAAAAAAAAACAGAAUAUUGUUAAUUAAUACUCUAAAUUGAAAGUUACAUGUUUUACUAUUCAUUAACAUGAAUCCAGUUUAAAAAAAAAUGUAGACAAAGGUCAUAUUUAUGUGAUUAAGCUCACUUCACUGUAUUCUACAUCCAUUCUCCAGCCAUGCUUGGUAAAUUGCUUGACUGUGUGCAUCAUAUUUAUACUGGUGGACCAAGUUUGUUUAUUUCAUAUCUGUUGUGAGUUAAUUAAAACACCAGCGCAUUAAUUGAUCCUGAUAUGUUAUUCAUUCAUAGGAAAAGUCAUUUUCCUCUU